GCAUGCAUGAAUCAAAGGCCUGCUCUGAUACCAAUUGAAGUGAAAAGAAAUUGUUUCUCUUUGAAUAGCCCAGGUUGCAUCUAAAUUUUUUUAUUAAUCUACAUGAAUAAAGAUCAAAUCUUUACCUAGAUAGCAGUGGAAUAGAAGAUCAAAUCUUUAAAAAUCCAGAGCAAACUUUUGCGGAGGCCUGAAAGUGCAGACCCUCUACUUCGCAUAUACAUCAA
rnacentral:lncRNA from 1 species